rnacentral:rRNA from 1 species
UACGUAGGGUGCGAGCGUUGUCCGGAAUUAUUGGGCGUAAAGGGCUCGUAGGCGGUUUGUCGCGUCGGGAGUGAAAACACCGGGCUUAACUCGGUGCUUGCUUUCGAUACGGGCAGACUAGAGGCAUGCAGGGGAGAACGGAAUUCCUGGUGUAGCGGUGAAAUGCGCAGAUAUCAGGAGGAACACCGGUGGCGAAGGCGGUUCUCUGGGCAUGUCCUGACGCUGAGGAGCGAAAGUGUGGGGAACGAACAGG